UCCCUGGUGGUCCAGUGCUUUGGACGUGGCACUUUCACUGCCGUGGCCUGGGUUCAAUCCCUGGUGGGGGAA
rnacentral:tRNA from 1 species